UGAAAUGCGAUGACGAGACGAGUAAAUAAAUCGAUUCUUUCACAGAGAGCUCCGUUUAGCUGAAAAGGGGCAAAGGGUUGUUUAUUGAAUAAAGACUCUGAGCAGCGCAUCGGAACUGGUCCAAACCGGGGAUGAUGCGACAGGAGCUCCUGUUACAGAGCUAGAGUAUAAGCAUUACAGCGUAAUGCAGUACUUGAAGAGGCUGAUAUGGCGACAUAUGAGCGAAUCUGGGGUGGUACCACGAGUAUUCAAAUCUCGUCCCUAAG
rnacentral:ncRNA from 1 species